rfam:Ictidomys tridecemlineatus contig024728, whole genome shotgun sequence.
GAUGGUAUAGCUCAGUGGUAGAGAGCAUGCUUCACAUGUGUGAGGCCUUGGGUUUGAUCCCCAAUACCACA